rnacentral:misc_RNA from 1 species
GACGUUUCUUCAUCGAGUAAAUGGCUAAGAGUUUUAGAUUGCUAUUCUGAUCCUCUUGGAUGGAAAAACAAGUUAUUGGAGAGGGGAACUGUAAGAAAUCCCUACGAAGAGACCUUACUGAAAACUACCUUAUGUAAGAACUUGAAAGAAUUGGACAAGGUUUUGUCUUCCAUUAUUGAACUUGGAAAAGAAAUUGUUGAAGAGGGAAAAGGGAGAUUUGCAGUUGCAAUAGACUCGGUUAGUGAGAUCUUGAGACAUUCAUCUCUACCUUCCGUUGCAAGAAUCUUAAGUCAUCUUCGCAGUCAUGACCAGGUCUCAUGCAUAUUCUGCUUGUUGCAUGUGGACCUUCAUGAGGCCAAGGUGGCUGCCACUCUUGAAUAUUUGUCCACUAUGCAUGCGGAUGUGGAACCAAUAGUUCAAAGAACAAAUGGACAGAGAAACACCUCAGAGGACCUCCCAAUGGUGGAACAGUCCUUUAAGAGAGGAAAAUUUCAUGUACGCUUUAAACGCAGAAAUGGACGUGUCAGAGUGAUGAGG